UCCGAUAUGGUGUAGGGGUUAGCAUACCACGUUUUCACCGUGGCGACUCGGGUUCGAUUCCCGGUAUCGGAG
rfam:Gaeumannomyces graminis var. tritici R3-111a-1 unplaced genomic scaffold supercont2.6, whole genome shotgun sequence.